GAUGAAUUUGAGUAGACUCAGGGAGCUGGUGAUAGACAGGGAAGCCUGGUGUCCUACAGUCCAUGGAGUCGCAGUGAGUCAGAUACAACUGAACUAGUGAACUAAGCUGAACUGAACACUUUUAACAGCAUAUAGAUGAUAUGUCUGUCCUUUUAUCUGUUACUUUUUCAAAGAAAAAAAAUAAGAAGGCAAAAGAAUGAUACGUGAAAAUGUAAACCAAAGAGAUGUUUCUAUAGUAUGGCAUCACGGAAUUUUUUGAAACUGAAAAAUUUUCUAACAGCCAAAUGUGUGGAUCUUGGGGGUACUUUGGAAAAUUCAGGCACUGCAGUUCCUGCAGGAAGUGUGGCCUGCGGAUGUCCAUUGCAUAGCAGAAGCGAGUUUGGAAAAAUGCUGACACUCAGUGAAGUUUGGCUCUGA
rnacentral:lncRNA from 1 species